CGGAGGGUGCAAGCGCUAUCCGGAUUCACUGGGUUUAAAGGGUGCGUAGGUGGGCUGAUAAGUCAGUGGUGAAAUCUCUAGGCUUAACCUGGAAACUGCCAUUGAUACUAUCGGUCUUGAAUCUCGCGUAGGUAAGCGGAAUAUGUCAUGUAGCGGUGAAAUGCUUAGAUAUGACAUAGAACACCAAUUGCGAAGGCAGCUUACUCCACGAGUAUUGACACUGAGGCACGAAAGCGUGGGGAGCAAACAGGAUUAGAUACCCUGGUAGCCCACGCCCUAAACGAUGGAUACUCGACAUCAGCGAUACACUGUUGGUGUCUGAGCGAAAGCAUUAAGUAUCCCACCUGGGAAGUACGACCGCAAGGUUG
rnacentral:rRNA from 1 species